rnacentral:rRNA from 1 species
UACAGAGGGGGCAAGCGUUGUUCGGAAUUACUGGGCGUAAAGCGUGCGCAGGCGGUUUUGUAAGCCAGAUGUGAAAUCCCCGGGCUUAACCUGGGAAUGGCAUUUGGGACUGCAAGGCUCGAGUGCGGCAGAGGAGACUGGAAUUCCUGGUGUAGCGGUGAAAUGCGCAGAUAUCAGGAGGAACACCGGUGGCGAAGGCGGGUCUCUGGGCCGAUACUGACGCUGAGGAGCGAAAGCGUGGGGAGCGAACAGG